CCUACGGGAGGCAGCAGUGAGGAAUAUUGGACAAUGGGCGCAAGCCUGAUCCAGCCAUGCCGCGUGCAGGAAGACGGUCCUAUGGAUUGUAAACUGCUUUUGUACAGGAAGAAACACUCCCUCGUGAGGGAGCUUGACGGUACUGUAAGAAUAAGGAUCGGCUAACUCCGUGCCAGCAGCCGCGGUAAUACGGAGGAUCCAAGCGUUAUCCGGAAUCAUUGGGUUUAAAGGGUCCGUAGGCGGUUUAAUAAGUCAGUGGUGAAAUCUGGUCGCUCAACGAUCAAACGGCCAUUGAUACUGUUAGACUUGAAUUAUUAGGAAGUAACUAGAAUAUGUAGUGUAGCGGUGAAAUGCUUAGAUAUUACAUGGAAUACCAAUUGCGAAGGCAGGUUACUACUAAUGGAUUGACGCUGAUGGACGAAAGCGUGGGGAGCGAACAGGAUUAGAUACCCUGGUAGUCCACGCCGUAAACGAUGGAUACUAGCUGUUCGGAGCAAUCUGNGUGNGUAGAGAAGUAGAUAAGUAUACCACCGUACGGGUAGGUACGGUUACGUACGAAGAAGUAGAAACGUACGAAAGAAGUUAGUACGGACGUGAGACGUAGACCGACGGACGACGACGAGGGAGGAGG
rnacentral:rRNA from 1 species